UGCGAGGUCGUCUAAUGGUAGGACACUGGCCUUUGAAGCCGGGUAUCUUGGUCCGAAUCCAAGCCUCGCAG
rnacentral:tRNA from 9 species